rnacentral:misc_RNA from 1 species
GUGAAUCAUCAAAUCUUUGAACGCAAAUUGCGCUUCCUAGCAUCCCGGGAAGUAUGCCUGUUUGAGGGUCAGUAUUAACAAAAAAAUCGGUUUGGUUGCAGAUUGUGACGUUUCCGGAGUUUGGGCUAUCUUAACUUUUUUGGUUAAGGGGCUUAAAAUUGACCUUUUUUGCGCAUUUUUAGACGUACAUAAAUUUUUUUUUUUUUCUUCUAUCUUUAAUCUUAAAAUUUAAUUAGUUGCAU